rnacentral:rRNA from 1 species
GGGGAUCGUUGUCGGAUUACUGGGCGUAAGCGCGCGUAGGUGGCUUGUUAAGUCGGGUGUGAAACCCCGGGCUCAACCUGGGAACGGCAUCCGGAACUGUCAAUCUUGAGUGCGGGAGAGGAAAGUGGAAUUCCCGGUGUAGCGGUGAAAUGCGUACAGAUCGGGAGGAACACCAGUGGCGAACGCGGCCUUCUGGACUGACACUGACCCUGAGGUGCGAAAGCGUGGGUUGCAAACUUUAUUACUUACCCAGGUUGAGUCGCCGGAUGGUAUGUCGACGAGCCUUUGAAAUUACCCACCACUUUGGGAGGAAUGUGACUUAUGGUGUUUACGGCCUGGUAACUUAUCCCGCCUGGUUAAACCCAAAAUGAAUUGACGGGGGGCCCCCAAAA